rnacentral:lncRNA from 10 species
CUCGGCCAGGCCUGAGAUGCCGGGAGGGUUUGACCCUGGGGCUGCAUGGACAGCUUAGCGCUCGGCCGCUGGCGACAGCGGAGGGCGGAGGAUCUGCAGGUUCCGGGGGACGUGAAACGGGUAUGCAGGAGAUUAGAAGCCAGUGGGCAUGAGCGUGGCUGCCACCAGGUGAAUGCCUGUGCCCUGGCGUCCUGGGGCCCAGAGGACCGGGAGCUUCCAUCAAGAGGCUGCCUCCCAGCACCAAGGCCAGAGAGUGGCCAGGGGAGGCUAAGUACAGGGAUUUCUCAGAAUGGUGGAAGGAGCUCAGCCCAGCCUUGCCCAAGAUGUAUUGCAGGGGAAUCUAUGGAGUUUUGCUCUCGUUGCCCACGCUGGAGUGCAAUGGCAUGAUCUCAGCUCACUGCAACCUCCGCUUCCCAGGUUCAAGCGAUUCUCCUGCCUCAGCCACCCAAGUAGUUGGGAUUACAGGGACAUUUUAGCCAUACCAAGAAUCAUUAGAAGAUGCAAGCUGGAAAAAAGAAGGUCCCAGUUUUGGUUUUGAACCCUUCAUGUUGCAGCAAAUGUGAAUCUCCUACAGAUGGGUUUGGGGACUUACCUGUUCAAAUAGCAGCCCGGUGUCCUCUGUGGGUGGGGGGAGGUUUGUCUGUCCUUUCAUUCUAGUAAAUCCACCAUCCUCUGCACGAGAGCCAGGAGAAUCCACAUCACUUCAAAAGAGCCCCCAAAUCCUUACUACGUACUACAGCCUCCUUUCGAAUGUUCCUGGUUGAGAGGGAGAUCAAUUGCAUUAUUUACAAGUCAAAAAAUUUUGUAUCAAACUUCCUAUGAGCUUGGGCACUCAUGGCCUAUGGAGGCCCACCCAGACGCAGCCCCGCCAUCAUGCUUUUUCGUUGUUUUGUGGAUGUACCCAGGGCUAUUUACACACUCUUUCAUUAAAAGGCUUAUUUUUA